rnacentral:misc_RNA from 1 species
UUUAUGGGACCAAUCGUGGAUUGAGUGCUAGCAGUGAGACUAGAGCUGAGAUCGUCGAGCUUAUUACACAGCUUGAAGCCAAGAACCCUACCCCCGCGCCCACUGAGGCAUUGGCUCUGCUCAACGGCAAAUGGAUUCUGGGGUACACUUCUUUUUCACGUUUAUUUCCACUGCUGUCAACGGGUGCCUUUCCAUUGGUAAAGGUGGAAGAAAUAUCCCAGAUUAUUGAUUCGGAGACUUUCACUGUCCAGAAUUCUGUUCAGUUUGCUGGUCCACUAGCUACCACUUCCAUCAGCACCAAUGCUAAA